GCAGCAUCCACGGGCUCAAGGUGAGGCACGGCAGCGGCGCAGGAUCGCCGCCGUGUGAUAAAUUACAUUUACGCGCCGGGUCCUUUUCAUGGCUGGUGACUUUCCAGCAAAGCAAUUAUCACUGUAGAAUGCGUAAUAGCCUAAUUAAUUACUAUUGUCAGGCUGGCCUCUGUGCCAUGAUUAUACCUUCCGAAGCCAACUUUUUAAACAUUUGGAAGCAGAAAUAUUAUUAUAAUUGACUGACAAAAUGGUAAAACUCCCCCGGCACAGCCGGUCCUCCUCCCGGCACGGCGGCGAGGACAGACCGUCUGAGCAUCUCCUCUCCAAAGGCGCGGGAUUUGCAUCGCACCGGCACAUCCUGGCCCAGCCGGCUCCAGGAGAAGGUGCUCGAGCAAUUCCCUUUCUCCACACCGCAGGAUUUCUUGGGCUGAGCCCCCAGAUUGGCGCUGGCCCUGCCAGCCCCUGCCUGCUGCCGGGCAGGAGCAUCCUCCUGCCUCUUCCCGACAUCCGUCCCCAGUGCAUUUGCUGACAGUUGGCAACUCCAAACCAUCUGCUACCGAAACACACAGCGAAACGAAAGGCUUCAGCAUCGAACCCAAUGCGGCUUGAAGGAGCAGGCUGAUUUCUGACCAUCAGCAUGAGAAGGUGCCACCCGGGCAGGUUAAUUCCCAGCGGGGCCAGAUUUCUUGCGAGCCCACAAAAUUAUUUUCCUGCAAAAUGAUUUUCCUGCAAAAGUACGCCAAACUCCCCAGAAGGCUGGCAGCAGCGGUCCAGGUCGGCGGCGGAGACGGGCAGGGAUGCACGGGGCUCUGCAUCCCUGGCACAAAGUGGGGCGAUGGGGGGGUUCCCACUGGUCCCCAGGUUCAGGCUGGAGCCGGGCUGGCCCCGGCACCCGGGUGCACCCUGAGCAUCGCAAAGUUUCACCUCCCAUUUAGUAGAACAAAACUUUUAAUUUAGAUGUUUUCAUCUAUCUAUCAGAGUAAAAAAAAAUAAGUUUAAAAUAAUGACUGUAAUAAAUGAAGGUAAUUAAUUGUAGUUUGUUCCUUUACUGUCUAGUCAGCUUAAUUUUACCUUUUCAUCUAAUAAUGAGAAAAUAAUUUUUGUGCUCUGAGGGUUAAUGAUAUGUAACUGCAAGAGCUGCUAAUUGCAUGU